UACGAACUGUGCGAACGUUAUUCGGAAUCACUGGGCUUACAGGGUGCGUAGGCGGCUUGUUAAGUAGGGUGUGAAAGCCCCCGGCUCAACCGGGGAAUUGCGCCCUAAACUGGCGAGCUGGAGUGAGAUAGGGGUGUGUGGAACUUCCGGUGGAGCGGUGAAAUGUGUUGAUAUCGGAAGGAACGCCGGUGGCGAAAGCGGCUUCCUGGUCCGACACCGACGUUCAGGCACGAAAGCGUGGGGAGCAAACAGG
rnacentral:rRNA from 1 species